rnacentral:rRNA from 1 species
AUGCAAGUCGAGGGGCAGCGCGGUAGCAAUACUGGCGGCGACCGGCAAACGGGUGCGGAACACGUACACAAUCUGCCUUUGUCUGGGGCAUAGCCCGGAGAAAUCCGGAUUAACUCCCCAUAACAUACAUGAGUGGCAUCACUUGAGUAUUAAAAAUUUAUUGGACAGAGAUGAGUGUGCGUCCCAUUAGCUAGUUGGUAGGGUAACGGCCUACCAAGGCGACGAUGGGUAGCUGGUGUGAGAGCACGGCCAGCCACACGGGCACUGAGACACGGGCCCGACUCCUACGGGAGGCAGCAGUGAGGAAUAUUGGUCAAUGGGCGCAAGCCUGAACCAGCCAUGCCGCGUGAAGGAUGAAGGCCUUCUGGGUUGUAAACUUCUUUUAUGGGGGAAGAAAACUACGGUUUCUACUGUAGCCGACGGUACCCUAGGAAUAAGCACCGGCUAACUCCGUGCCAGCAGCCGCGGUAAUACGGAGGGUGCAAGCGUUAUCCGGAUUUACUGGGUUUAAAGGGUGUGUAGGCGGGCUUUUAAGUCAGUGGUGAAAUCUCCGGGCUCAACCCGGAAACUGCCAUUGAUACUAUUAGCCUUGAAUUUUGUUGAGGCAGGCGGAAUAAGUCAUGUAGCGGUGAAAUGCAUAGAUAUGACUUAGAACACCAAUUGCGAAGGCAGCUUGCUAAACAAACAUUGACGCUGAGGCACGAAAGCGUGGGGAUCAAACAGGAUUAGAUACCCUGGUAGUCCACGCCCUAAACGAUGAUUACUCGACAUACGCGAUACACAGUGUGUGUCUGAGCGAAAGCAUUAAGUA